rnacentral:tRNA from 1 species
GCUCGGGUGGUGGAAUUGGUAGACACAAGGGACUUAAAAUCCCUUGACUUCACGGUCGUGCGGGUUCGAGUCCCGCCCCGAGCA